UUUGGGGUCAUGGAACAACAACAGAUGAGCUUAGGACGUCAUUGUUGGAGUAUCCAGCAGAAAACAUGGCUCCAUAUCUACAACAAAAUUCAACUUAUAAGAUCAAUGUCUACACUUUCAACAAAACAUUAGUGUUUAAGGACAGAAUCAAAAAGAUUGAUGCUCUAGACUUCUUGCCAUUUUAAAGGGACAGUCAAUCUGAAGGAUCCAGAACAUAUUUUCUGUUUGCUGGAGGAUUAUGGAUCUGAUCCUAAUGACAUCCCAGAAGAGCCUUUCCAUAUAUUCUUUGGG